rnacentral:lncRNA from 1 species
AAUCUGGCUAACUUUCGUGUUGUUCUGACACUUAUUUUAAGCCAUUCCUCUCUGAGGGCAGACCUAAGCUCUGUUUUGCCGUGAAUGUGCCUUUUCCGCACUUACAAAAAUGCUUGUCCAGCUUCGGUUGAUAAAGUAUUUGGAACGGUUUCAGAUGAAAAGGUUAAACAAGCUAACUCAUAUGAAUAUGUUCCAUCAUAUACUUCAUACAACAAGUUUGCUUGGACAAAAAAUCAUAAACAUAGACAUAAGAAGAAGCAUCUUUUUAGAAAAACUAAAUUCUUCUUCACUGGAAGAAAAUGUAAUGAUGAAUUGGAUGCUAUAAGAAAGAAAUGGAAGAAGGUAUUGAAUUUAGAUGAAGAGGUAUAUCCAAGCACUUCGCAUGAUACUCAUCCAUAUAUUUCAAAUAAGAAGGCUGCUCAGAAAGGCAAGAAAGUUGUUUCAAGUUCUUAUGAGAAAUUUCUUUGCAGUUCUUCAAGAAAAGUAAUGACUCAGACAGCCUCAAAAAAACAUAAAAGUAGAUGUAAGAAGAAGCACAUUUUUAGUUUUAGGAAAAUUAUACAUUUCUUCAAAGGAAGAAAACAUAAUAAUGAUUUGGAUGCUACAAAAACGAAAUGGAAGAAGGCAUUGAAUUUAGAUAAAAAAGUGCAAAGAAAUAAUUCACACACUACUCCUGCAUGUACUUUAAUUGAGGAAAUUUUUCGAAGAGACAAGAAAAUUCGUUCAAAUAAAUGUAUCACCAUCGUCUCUUCAUAUGAGAUGACACCUCAAACAACCUCAAACACUCCUGGAUACAAGUAUGAUACGUCCAUCUUGA